rnacentral:rRNA from 1 species
AUUGAACGCUGGCGGCAGGCCUAACACAUGCAAGUCGGUCGAGCGGCGGACGGGUGAGUAAUGUAUGGGGAUAUGCCUGAUGGCGGGGGAUAACUACUGGAACCGGUAGCUAAUCCCGCAUAACAUCAACUGAACCCCUAUGGGAUUAGCUUGUACGUGAGGUAACGGCUCACCUAGGCGACGAUCCCUAGCUGGUGGGAGAGGAUGCUCAGCCACACUGGGACGUAGACACGGCCCAGACUCCGACGGGAGGCAGCAGUGGGGAAUAUUGAACAAUGGGCGCAAUCCUGAUGCAGCCAUGCCGCGUGUAUGAAGAAGGCCUUCGGGUUGUAAAGUACUUUCAGUCGGGAGGCGUUACCGACAGAAGAAGCACCGGCUAACUCCGUGCCAGCAGCCGCGGUAAUAC